CCACAGGAGCGACCCAGGCAAGCGGAAGCAACCGGGAAAGGGAGGAGAGAAAGGCGGAACUCUCUCCGCCCGGAGAGUCUCCGGGCUGAACCGGGGAGGAGCUCCGAGGCCUAGUAGGCAGGCUGGCUGGCUGGCUGGCUAUCCAGCCCUGCUUGCUACUCUGGGUGGCUCCGCCCGCAGCAGCGAGCGGGCGCUGACUGAGGCGAUGAGGAGAAGGAGAACGACGGGGUACUGUUGUAAACAUUCAUCUGGAAGACAAAAAACAGACAGCAGGCUCUUGUCUCCCCCAGCCCCCAUCUUUGCUCAAGCCUCCACUCCUACUGCACAGUCCAAUGGCAAGGACAAGUAGAGACCUAUAAUUGUAGAAACAAUGAAAUGAUCAACUACACUAGAUUUAUGUUUAUCCAGUCAACCAAUGGGACAAGAGAAUGGAACUCACUAAAGUCUGGCAAGAUGGAAACCUUAUUCCUGAGAUAUAUAGGGACUAAGAGUCAUCUGUACAGGCUGGAAAAGCAGCUUAGCCACUGAUAACUUUAAAAUCAAGCAUGCUAUUUCCAUUUUAUCUGCUUGGUGUAAACAAAUAAAAGAACAGAAGGUACCUUGAUGAAGUGUGAC
rnacentral:lncRNA from 1 species